rnacentral:rRNA from 1 species
UACGUAGGUGGCAAGCGUUGUCCGGAUUUACUGGGCGUAAAGAGCGCGCAGGCGGUCGUUCAAGUCGCAGUGUGAAAGCCCCCGGCUCAACUGGGGAGGGUCACGCGAUACUGAUCGACUCGAAGGCAGGAGAGGGUAGUGGAAUUCCCGGUGCAGUGGUGAAAUGCGUAGAUAUCGGGAGGAACACCAGUGGCGAAGGCGACUACCUGGCCUGUUUCUUGACGCUGAGGCGCGAAAGCUAGGGGAGCAACGGGAUUAAG